UACAGGGGGUGCAAACGUUGCUCGGAAUCAUUGGGCGUAAAGCGCACGUAGGCGGUCUGUUAUGUCGGAUGUGAAAGCCCUUGGCUUAACUGAGGAAGUGCAUCCGAAACUGGCAGGCUAGAGUACUAAAGAGGGUCGCGGAAUUCCCGGUGUAGAGGUGAAAUUCGUAGAUAUCGGGAAGAACACCCGUGGCGAAGGCGGUUCUCUGGGACGGUACUGACGCUGAGACGCGAAAGCGUGGGGAGCGAACAGG
rnacentral:rRNA from 1 species